rnacentral:lncRNA from 1 species
GUUAGACUGAAAAACUCGGCCACCGUCUUCUCCACCCUACGCAUUAAGUCCAACGACAAACCAUGGUUGAUCACCUGGAAAAAGCCCCAUCUCAUGCAUGCUUCUGCAAUCUCUGUCGCUAGCGCUGUCUUGUCGCAGUUUGGGUCUUGGAGGGAGGAGAGGUCGAUGGUCGGGAUCUCCUUGGAGAGAAUGUGGUCAUCGGAGUGUUUGAGAUGAGUUUUGGGUCUGUGUUCUGGAGCUUGGAUAAAAGCUUCGUCGAGUACUCCCAUGGUGGUUUUUUUGUCGGUGAUUCUUAUGUUUAUCUUUUAAGGCUUUGGAAGAUAUCCGAUGAUUCUUGUGGUGCAUGCGGUUGGGUUUGUUUUAUAGGAAGAUGUCUGUCACGUGUAACAAAACGCUUUUAUUGGUAUGAUGAAUGUAGACACGUUUCUGUGAACAAUUAACUUUUUUUUUCACAUUUGGUUAAUUAGGAAUUACAGUCAUGCCAGUUGUUGAAAGACGACCAAAAUAAGCCAAAGAUGUAUGUAGACGGAGGAUAUUCAUAAAGUUCAUCAGCGUUUAAUAUAGACUAUAGAUGCCCCUUCUAGAAAAAAAAAAUUAACCAUUUUUUAUUUUUGCAAACAACCAUUACAAAAGGAGAGGAGGAUUAGUUCACGAGAAAAUAGCUCUGAAUCUAGACGGAAUUUUGGAAGGGUGGAGGAUGUGAUAUACGCAAGUCAAAUCUUAUUGGAUACUUGGAUCUCGAUCCGAAGUCUUAUAUAUUUGCAAAAAACAAAAGAAAAUUAUGACAUGAUUUUAAAGAACAUAUCAGAUAUUGUUUCCGACAUAAACUCAGUCUCUCACAUAUUAUUACAUUAAGGGCUUGCAUCAUAGCUUUGGUAAUAAAAAGUAGACGCAUAGAACAUACUCUUAUUAAGGAUGUGACUGGUUUGUUACAUUCCCAAACGCAAGUUUUACGGUUGAUAACGCUUGACAGCAUUUCGAAAAAAUCAUACAAACCUCUACAAAUCACUUCAAAUCACUCCGAACCUCUUAAAAUCAAAAGCUGGUUCCAGUUAGUGUUUGCAGUUGCGAGCGGUUGUGGAUGGAUAAAUAAAUAUAAAUUGUUUUUCAAAAAUAUUUAAAAAUUUUAAAAUUAAAAUUUUAAAAUAGAAGUACGAUAAAUAAAAAUAUAUACAUAUUUUAUAUAUUAUUUUAAAUUCACAAACAGUACAUAAUUUGUUUUAUAAAAACUUUAAACUAACUAACUAUUCAUUAGAAUUUUUAAAAAUUAAUAUACAUACAUAUUUUUUUUUAAAGUUUAAUAGAAAUCUUCAAAAAAAAUUAUAACUUUCAACUAAUUUGAAAAAUUAUUUAAACAAACAUAAUACUAUUAUUAACCAUAUUAUAUUGAUAUUAUUAUAUUUUAUUACAAUAAUAUGUUUUCAUAGUUUCAUAAUGUUAUAAUAUGUUAAUAUUGGUAAUUUAUUAUUAAACCAGUGCAAUAUCUAAUUAUAAUCAACCAGUCACAAAUAUCCCGCAAACGUAACAAUUUUCAAACAUUGUGCCAGUCAUACAAAACACUUAACAACACUUGAAAACACAACCACCCGCAUCCACACACUCCCGCAUCCGCAACCGCAACCACUGCAUUUGAACCAACCGGACCCUAAAUUAUAAGGUUUUCAGGACUCACUCUUCUAAUGGCUUCACUUCCACAUCAUGUGAAGGCAUCAAGAAGAAUGCUAUUGGGUAUCUUUCUCUUGGUGUACCAAGAAUCCCCACCACUCUAUGUUCUACAUUCCAAUACUUAUCAUUUAUGAUUCAUCCAUACCUAGUAGUAUAGAUAUAGUCGUUAUAAUUAGAUACUGCAUGUGUAUAUCUUAGAAAAAUGAGAAGUAAUAUCUAGAAUUUCACCUCCAUUUGUAAUCCUCCAACUUUGUCUUGAGCCAAUAGACCGUGGGCAUGGUGGAUAACGAUUUAUCCUUAAGAAAACUCAUUUGAUCUUUAAAGUAAUCAUGGAAUGAGUUCUAAAAGCCUGUAUGCUAGCUUUUCAGCGUGUCUUACGUACUCGUCACAUGCCUCCCUAAAACUAAAUAAGAAAAAAGAGAUUAACUUGCAUAGUUGAAAAUAAAUUCUUUUACCGAAUUGCUUGUAUGCUAUGUCCUACAUGUAAGUUGUAACUUGUAAUAUUAAUGCAGCCUUGGAAGAUAGCGUUCACGUGCAUCCAGUAGAGUUGUGUACUUGUGUAAAGUGAUAAGAUUCUGUUCAUAUUGGUUAACUUAGUUUUUUCUUUGUAACAAACACUUAUAUUAAACACACUAACCAAAGUUAGGUGGAGUCAUAAUGGCAAGUUCAACAGCCAAGCAUUGUUUAGCUAAAUUAUCAGCAUACCUGUUACUCUCACGAGAAAUCCAGGACCAAGAAAAACACUCAAAAGAGGAAACAGCAGAGAUGAUAUCUGUAAUUACUCCAAACACUCUUCAGUAAAAGAAGAGCCCAAAUUGAUUGCUUUAACUAGUUGCGCCAAGUCAGAUUCGCAUCUGGUAUUGGGAGGCCAAGAUUCCCGCUCUUAAAAAUUUCCUCACGAAGCGCCAAAGCUUCAGCCGCAAGAAGGGAUGUCACAUGUCGAUAAAGAGCAGAGAAAGAGGAUAUUCUGUUUUGGUUUUCAAUUGUGCAACCAAGCCCCACCGUAUGGUGACUCUCAUUCCACAAAAUAUCGAUUUAACAAGGACAUAGUUAAAACCGAUAUGUUUGGAAUGAGAGUAAAUGGAGACUGAUGAUUGCAUACAUGCUAUAGAUACUUAUUCUAUUUAUUGUUUUCAUAGGAUAAGUAGAGAAAAAAAUUUAGGAAUAAUUAAGAAGAAAGAUAAAGUGAUUCGGCUACAGAAAAUUGGUAAUGUAAAUAUAUGUUGUGAGACUGAUGAUUGCAUACUAUGCUUUUUUUUUGGAUCACAGCUUCUUUUCAUUAACUUCAACUUGGUUGAUUACAAAUGCUAGAAAAUAUUAUCUAUCCUCUUUAAUUGAAAACAUAAACUACAACAACAUAAAAUGAAAAGGACAGAUCUUCAAAAAAAGAUGACAGCGAAAUCAAGAUGUUGUUUGAAUGCGUCGAUGUAGCCUUUACAACAUGCUUGGACAGCAGAAAGAUAGUCACUUUGAAUUGUGGCGUUGACGUUGAUUAAUAUAAAUACAUUAAUCAAGAUAUUUAAAAUAUUUUAGAAAUAUUCACUCUGCAUCACUUUUAACAGGUUGGAGAGUAAAACAUGAGUCAUGUUCAUUGACAUUAUUAGGAAAUGUUGUGCUACUAAACAUAGUGAGAUUACUUAAGCGGCCUUGAAGCGAUCAAUCUGGAUGCUCUCAGUUUGGAGCUUCUUGUAAUCACUUCUGUUUCUCGCAGCAAAGAACUUGCCCCAAUUGUACUUUUUGUAACAAGGCGGGCUGUCUUCGCUUAUAAGCUCUUUCAAUGGCUCAAUGUUGGUAUCAUGGGAUGGGAAAAGGAAGAAUGGCAUUGAGAAUCUCUCUUUGCUUGAAUUCACUACCACUCUAUGUUCUGCACUCCAAUACUUGUCAUUUGUCCAUACCUACUCCACACAACAAAUAUUAUGACCAAGUUACAUUAGACCCCAAAAAAUUUCGAGUUAAUAUAUAUAAACAUAGACCCCUAAAUUGUUAAAAAAAAAAAACUAUUAAAUUGAUUUAAGUCCUCUAAAAUGUCAGGGUCAGCCCUUCAAUAUAACAUUCAAAGUUGAUGUCUUUUACCUGCAUGCAGUUGCCAAUGUUAAUGAUGAAAGCAUCAGGGUUCGGUUUGACAGAGAACCAUUGUCCAUCUGAUCUACGGCUCACUUGUAACCCACCCACACUAUCUUGUGCCAAGACGGUUAUAACUCCUGCGUCUGCGUGGCGUCCAACGCCUAAUGCUAGCUCCGGGUUCGGGCAAGGAGGGUAAUGGUUAAACCGCAAAAAGCUUGUUUGGUCCUUGAAGUAACCUGUUAACCGAUCACCGGGUAGACCCAAGCUAAUGGAGAUAAGUUCCAAAAGCUUGAAAGCUAACUUCUCAACUUCUCUUGCAUAUUCUUGGCACACCUCUCUACCAAACAUGAUUAGUAUUAAUAAAUGGAUCCUAAUUAGGCCCAAUGGGCCUUAAUUAAAGCCUUGUUUUAAAGCGUGUUUUAGAGGAUCACCUGAAGUCGGAAGGGUUUUGAGGCCACGGGUUAGUCAGCUUCCUGAGCUCGGUAUCUUCCGGCUCUGUAGUCGCCGGAACCGUCGUCGAGUCCUGCAAAAAGAAAUCGAAAAUCUCUUUCCAGUCUCUAACGUUUUUGGUAUGUUCUCCGUCGUGAUAACCCAUAGGGUUCACUUCAUCUCUUUUCACUCUUCUCUUCUCCUCCAACGUUAGACUGAAAAACUCGGCCACCGUCUUCUCCACCCUACGCAUUAAGUCCAACGACAAACCAUGGUUGAUCACCUGGAAAAAGCCCCAUCUCAUGCAUGCUUCUGCAAUCUCUGUCGCUAGCGCUGUCUUGUCGCAGUUUGGGUCUUGGAGGGAGGAGAGGUCGAUGGUCGGGAUCUCCUUGGAGAGAAUGUGGUCAUCGGAGUGUUUGAGAUGAGUUUUGGGUCUGUGUUCUGGAGCUUGGAUAAAAGCUUCGUCGAGUACUCCCAUGGUGGUUUUUUUGUCGGUGAUUCUUAUGUUUAUCUUUUAAGGCUUUGGAAG